CAGCCCUCACUCUGCAGCUCUGCAGAGGAGCCCAGCCCUGGAGUCCCAGGUGUUUCCUUUCGGGGAUCGGGACUGAGCACAGACAGCCCACAAUGGAGCUUGCGCUGAGAUGGGUUUUCCUUGUUGCUGUUUUAAAAGGUGUCCAGGCUGAGGUGCAGCUGGUGGAGUCUGGGGGAGGCUUGGUGCAACCUGAGGGGUCCCUGAGACUCUCCUGCGUGACCUCGGGAUUCACCUUUAGCAAUUACUACAUGCACUGGAUCCGCCAGGCUCCAGGAAAGGGCCUAGAGUGGGUUGGUUUAAUUAGAAACGCGGCUAAGAGUCACACUACAGAGUACGCUGCAUCCGUGAAAGGCAGAUUCACCAUCUCCAGGGAUGACUCCAAAAGCACACUGUAUCUUCAAAUGACCAAACUGAAACCCGAGGACACCGCUGUUUACUACUGUGCAGGAGACACAGUGAGAGGACAUCAAUGUGAGCCCUGACACAAACCUCCCUGCUGUGGUAGAGAGAUGCGCAAAAGCUUUGAGAGUGGGAAUCGACAAACCAAAGAGCGUUGA